rnacentral:rRNA from 1 species
CUGGCUCAGGACGAACGCUGGCGGCGUGCCUAACACAUGCAAGUCGAACGGAGUAAUUCCUUUCGGGGGAUUACUUAGUGGCGAACGGGUGAGUAACGCGUGAGGAACCUACCUCUCAGUGGGGGACAACAGUUGGAAACGACUGCUAAUACCGCAUAAUGUAUAUUUGGGGCAUCCCUUUUAUACCAAAGCUUUAUGUGCUGAAAGAUGGCCUCGCGUCUGAUUAGCUAGUUGGUGGGGUAACGGCCCACCAAGGCGACGAUCAGUAGCCGGACUGAGAGGUUGACCGGCCACAUUGGGACUGAGAUACGGCCCAGACUCCUACGGGAGGCAGCAGUGGGGAAUAUUGGGCAAUGGGCGAAAGCCUGACCCAGCAACGCCGCGUGAAGGAAGAAGGCCUUCGGGUUGUAAACUUCUUUUACCAGGGACGAACACAAUGACGGUACCUGGAGAAAAAGCAACGGCUAACUACGUGCCAGCAGCCGCGGUAAUACGUAGGUUGCAAGCGUUGUCCGGAAUUACUGGGUGUAAAGGGCGUGUAGGCGGAGAUGCAAGUCGGGAGUGAAAUCUAUGGGCUCAACCCAUAAACUGCUCUCGAAACUGUAUCCCUUGAGUAUCGGAGAGGCAAGCGGAAUUCCUAGUGUAGCGGUGAAAUGCGUAGAUAUUAGGAGGAACACCAGUGGCGAAGGCGGCUUGCUGGACGAUAACUGACGCUGAGGCACGAAAGCGCGGGUAUCGAACAGGAUUAGAUACCCUGGUAGUCCGCGCAGUAAACGAUGGAUACUUGCCUUCCGCUCCGAUUGCGGAGUGCGAGGCGCAGCGAAAGCGUUAAGUAUCCCACCUGGGGAGUACGCCGGCAACGGUGAAAACUCAAGGAAUUGACGGGGGCCCGCACAAGCGGAGGAACAUGU